rnacentral:rRNA from 1 species
CCUACGGGAGGCUGCAGUGGGGAAUUUUGGACAAUGGGGGCAACCCUGAUCCAGCAAUGCCGCGUGAGUGAAGAAGGCCCUCGGGUUGUAAAGCUCUUUUGUCAGGGAAGAAAAGGGAUUGGCUAAUAUCCAGUCCUCAUGACGGUACCUGAAGAAUAAGCACCGGCUAACUACGUGCCAGCAGCCGCGGUAAUACGUAGGGUGCAAGCGUUAAUCGGAAUUACUGGGCGUAAAGCGUGCGCAGGCGGUUUUGUAAGACUGUCGUGAAAUCCCCG